rnacentral:rRNA from 1 species
AACGCGAAGAACCUUACCAGGAUUUGACAUGGGCAUGUCGCAAGCAGAGAUGUUUGUUCCCGCAAGGGCAUGCCGCACAGGUGCUGCAUGGCUGUCGUCAGCUCGUGUCGUGAGAUGUUGGGUUAAGUCCCGCAACGAGCGCAACCCUCGCCUUUAGUUGCCAUCAUGUUUGGGUGGGCACUCUAAAGGAACUGCCGGUGACAAGCCGGAGGAAGGUGGGGAUGACGUCAAGUCCUCAUGGCCCUUAUGUCCUGGGCUCCACGUGCUCAAUGGCGGUGACAGAGGGAAGCCAGGUCGCGAGGCCGAGCCGAUCCCAAAAAGCCGUCUCAGUUCGGAUUGCACUCUGCAACUCGAGUGCAUGAAGGUGGAAUCGCUAGUAAUCGCGAUCAGCAUGACG